UUAAAAGUUAUUACUUCUUUCUUAAAACAAAAGCCCCAAAUCUCUUGAAGGUUCUAAAAACCCUUGUGAUUGUUAAGAACUGUUGCGCCAACAGUGAUGAGAUGAACCAUCUCCAUCCAUUGUGACAGUGGCUGAAACCAUUGGAGAAAUCUGCACUAUAACGCUAGCUUACCUCAAAUUCCACAAUCUUCUUCUCUUGUGUCUACUCCGUUUUGUGUUGAACUUGAAUCUGGAACUUCUAGAUCUGCAACAACAUUCAUCAUUUGGCUCAAUUUGUGAUUGAAAUUAACAUCCAUUGUUAUGUUAUCUUUAUUAUUUGGUUAAAGUUAGUAUUUUUUUCAUUUUUUCAUAUUUUUAUUUAUUAUUUUUUUUCAUGGAAUCCGUCGGAAACGGUCGUAGACGGUCUUGCGACUCUUCUAUCUUCAAGUUCUAUCUUCAAGGGUUAGUUUUUUGCGCUCUACCCACUUCCUCUUAUUUGUCUUAUAUUUUGAUUUUGAUAUUAUUUUGCUUCAGCUUCUCUAUACAAAAUAAAAAAUGAAGUUAGAAUUCUUUUUUAUAACCAAUGAAGUGGAAAAGGAAGGAUAGGUAAAUCAGAGAAAAUAUAUAUCCUCAAUUAUUUUGACUAUUAGGAAAAAAUGAGGUGAUUUAUGUUGAAUGACUUAAGUUGCUUAUCGGUUCUGGUUUCAUGUGGUGUUUGUUUUGCUCUUGUUGUGUCUUAUUUUGGCUAAGAUGAGGCUUUUGUUGUUGUGUGUGAAGCACAAGAUUGGGUUGAGAAAACUGUUAGAGAU
rnacentral:lncRNA from 1 species